AUAAACUGUCCGCUCUUGAUGCUUGGUAUGUGAGUGGCCCUUUGCAGUCUGCAAACUGCAUCCACACCUAUUACUCUCAGCCAUCCCAUGAGGUGCUUUAAAUUGUCCCAGUUUACAGAUGAGAUGAGAGAAGCUCAGUGAGACUAAGGCACACAGUUGAAGUCCCAUGGCGAGAACAUUGAUUUAUAAAAAGGAAAAGUGAGUCGUCCAAAAGUAAAUUCUUCAGGCUGGAGAUAUAACUCCAUCUGUUUCCUGUCAUAUGAAAAUGCAAUUCAAAUGCAGCCUCCUCAUUCAGGGCUCACCAGCACCCACUCCCUGGGGGGAUGCCCUCUCCCACUCAGAGCUGAGUGCUCAGUUGAAGAGAAGAAAUUUCUUCGAAAGAAACCAUCCUAUACAUCAUGCCACUUUGAGAGCUGGGAGAAACCAGAUGAACAUGCCUGACCCUGGCAUCCCAGUCUCAAUUAAUUAUGUAUAUACUCACUGAGACCCAAGCAAGACAGCACACAAUAGGGGUCACUAUCAAAAAUUCUGCAGCAGCUACAGUGAGCCUUCUUCUCAGCAGAGGACAGCAGAAAGCAUUUAGGAAGAGUAUGUGCUACUGACCUGUUUUUGUUAGUCCACAAUACUUAUGAACAAUUGCUUAGAGAUCUCCAUAGGAGGUGUUUUUCUUUUAGCAAUGUGGCCAGAACAUC